AUGUUCUUGAGCGCAAGAAAUGAGUCUUCCGAGUCGGAGGACAUCCAAGAACUGAUCAACAGUGGCCUCAAGUGCAACGCAUCCACGCCAGCCGACGACAUGGAGAGCGGCAGAGGCGGGGCACGAGCCGCCGGAAGCACGUCGUCGUCAUCGCCCCUGCCCAUGGUUCUGCCGUCCGAGCAGAAAGCACGGUACAGCACGGAGGAGGAUCCCAGUCGUUGCAGCUGCAGCGAUAGCUUCUUCGGCAAGUACUUUUCAUUCCUCCUGCUCAUGUUCGUCACCGCGUCGCUGGUGAUCCUCCCGCUCGUCCUGCCACCGCUGCCUCCGCCUCCGUCGAUGCUGAUGCUGGUGCCAGUGGCAAUGCUGGUGAUGCUCCUGGUGCUGGCGUUCAUGCCGACGUCAGGCGGCCGCAGUGCGACGGGCCCGACUGCCUACCUGUAG
rnacentral:rRNA from 1 species